AAUGCACGAAAGUGUGAUGGAGCGACGCCGCGUGCAGGAAGACGCCUUUCGGGGUGUAAACUGCUUUUAUUAGGGAAGAAUUAGUGACGGUACCUAAUGAAUAAGAGGUUGCUAACUACGUGCCAGCAGCAGCGGUAAUACGUAGACCUCAAGCGUUAUCCGGUUUUAUUGGGCGUAAAGCGUCCGCAGGUGGUCAAGUAAGUUAAUUGUCAAAUCCCAAGGCUUAACUUUGGGACUGCAAUUAAAACUGCUCGACUAGAGGUUGUGAGAGGCAAGCGGAACUAUCGGUGUAGUCGUAAUAAGCGCUGAUAUCGAUAGGAACACCAAAGGCGAAGGCAGCUUGCUGGAACAAACCUGACACUCAUGGACGAAAGCGUGGGUAGCGAAAGGGAUU
rnacentral:rRNA from 1 species